UGGGGAAUAUUGGGCAAUGGGCGAAAGCCUGACCCAGCAACGCCGCGUGAGGGAAGAAGGUCUUCGGAUUGUAAACCUCUGUCCUUGGGGACGAACAAAUGACGGUACCCAAGGAGGAAGCUCCGGCUAACUACGUGCCAGCAGCCGCGGUAAUACGUAGGGAGCAAGCGUUGUCCGGAAUUACUGGGCGUAAAGGGUGCGUAGGUGGCUUUGUAAGUCAGAUGUGAAAUAUCCGGGCUUAACCCGGAGGGUGCAUCUGAAACUACAGAGCUUGAGUGCAGGAGAGGUAAGUGGAAUUCCUAGUGUAGCGGUGAAAUGCGUAGAUAUUAGGAGGAACACCAGUGGCGAAGGCGACUUACUGGACUGUAACUGACACUGAGGCACGAAAGCGUGGGGAGCAAACA
rnacentral:rRNA from 1 species